UGGGGAAUAUUGGACAAUGGGCGCAAGCCUGAUCCAGCAAUGCCGCGUGGGUGAAGACGGCCUGCGGGUUGUAAAGCCCUUUGGGCGGGGAGGAACGGCGUCGCGCGAACAGGGCGGCGCUCUGACGUUACCCGCGAAACAAGCACCGGCUAACUCCGUGCCAGCAGCCGCGGUAAUACGGAGGGUGCGAGCGUUAAUCGGAAUUACUGGGCGUAAAGCGUGCGUAGGCGGUCCGGUCAGUCAGCCGUGAAAGCCCCGGGCUCAACCUGGGAACGGCGGUUGAGACGGCCGGACUGGAGUGGGCUAGAGGAUCGUGGAAUUCCGGGUGUAGCGGUGAAAUGCGUAGAGAUCCGGAGGAACACCGAUGGCGAAGGCAGCGGUCUGGGGCCACACUGACGCUGAGGCACGAAAGCGUGGGGAGCAAACAGGAUUAGAUACCCUGGUAGUCCACGCGGUAAACGAUGAGCACUAGACGUCGGGCGGGUGACCGCCCGGUGUCGCAGCUAACGCGCUAAGUGYUCCGCC
rnacentral:rRNA from 1 species